rnacentral:tRNA from 1 species
GCAGGAAUGGCGGAAUUGGCAGACGCGCACGGUUCAGGUCCGUGUGAAAGCAAUUUCAUGGAGGUUCGAAUCCUCUCGCCUGCACCA